rnacentral:rRNA from 1 species
GACGAACGCUGGCGGCGUGCCUAAUACAUGCAAGUCGAACGGUCUUUUCUAUGGAAGCUUGCUUCCGCUGAGAAGAUAGUGGCGAACGGGUGAGUAACACGUGGGUAACCUGCCCAUAAGAGGGGGAUAACAUCCGGAAACGGGUGCUAAUACCGCAUAGUUUUCUUGAUCGCAUGAUCGAGAAAGGAAAGACGGCCUUUGUGCUGUCACUUAGGGAUGGACCCGCGGCGUAUUAGUUAGUUGGUGAGGUAACGGCUCACCAAGACGAUGAUACGUAGCCGACCUGAGAGGGUGAUCGGCCACAUUGGGACUGAGACACGGCCCAAACUCCUACGGGAGGCAGCAGUAGGGAAUCUUCCGCAAUGGACGAAAGUCUGACGGAGCAACGCCGCGUGAGUGAAGAAGGUUUUCGGAUCGUAAAACUCUGUUGUCAGAGAAGAACAAGUCGGAGAGUAACUGCUCCGGCCUUGACGGUAUCUGACCAGAAAGCCACGGCUAACUACGUGCCAGCCGCCGCGGUAACAC